rnacentral:rRNA from 1 species
CCUACGGGUUGCAGCAGUGGGGAAUAUUGCACAAUGGGCGCAAGCCUGGUGCAGCCAUGCCGCGUGUAUGAAGAAGGCCUUCGGGUUGUAAAGCACUUUCAGUAGGGAGGAAGGUAGUGUAGUUAACACCUGCAUUAUUUGACGUUACCUACAGAAGAAGCACCGGCUAACUCCGUGCCAGCAGCCGCGGUAAUACGGAGGGUGCGAGCGUUAAUCGGAAUUACUGGGCGUAAAGCGCAUGCAGGCGGCCUGUUAAGUCAGAUGUGAAAGCCCGGGGCUUAACCUCGGAAUUGCAUUUGAAACUGGCAGGCUAGAGUCUUGUAGAGGGGGGUAGAAUUCCAGGUGUAGCGGUGAAAUGCGUAGAGAUCUGGAGGAAUACCGGUGGCGAAGGCGGCCCCCUGGACAAAGACUGACGCUCAGGUACGAAAGCGUGGGGAGCAAACAGGAUUAGAUACCCUCGUAGUC